rnacentral:rRNA from 1 species
GUAGGUGGCAAGCGUUAUCCGGAUUUAUUGGGCGUAAAGGGAACGCAGGCGGUCUUUUAAGUCUGAUGUGAAAGCCUUCGGCUUAACCGGAGUAGUGCAUUGGAAACUGGGAGACUUGAGUGCAGAAGAGGAGAGUGGAACUCCAUGUGUAGCGGUGAAAUGCGUAGAUAUAUGGAAGAACACCAGUGGCGAAAGCGGCUCUCUGGUCUGUAACUGACGCUGAGGUUCGAAAGCGUGGGUAGCAAA